CUUCUGAAGUGGCAGGAUGUUGCUCUGUAUGGGUUGAAGCCUUCUGAUGUGGUAUGGUGAUACUGUGUGUAUUGUGGCUGCCUCAACUGUGAUGUACGCUGCGACACACCUUCAGCAGAGAAGUUUUUUUUCAGAGGAACAGCUGAAUCCAAAGGGAAGAUUUGGAUGUUUUCCCCUCUUUGAAAAGUCAGCUACAGAAAUUGAGGAGAGCAGACUUGAAUCACCAUUGGACAAGUGCUUUCAGUGCUUCUCUGGAGUAAUUCACAGACAUUCUUCUCCCUGUGGUGAAAUAUUUUGAAAUCCCUUCUUUUUUCAUCUGAAUGGCAAAUGCCAAAACCUCAGUGUUUUUCGUGAGGAAUUCUUGUCUUCUGGCCAGCUCAGUUAGCUUCACAGCAAGAACUGGGAAGUUAAGUCUAUGGCAAAGGGAGGAUUUCCACAUUCAUGGGGAAGCAGGCAGCAGCUGCUUUCAGUCAUUUGACCUCCUGUAGCACUGAGAUAUCAGACAUUAUAAUCAUGACACUAUACAGAAAGUUAUCAAAUCAAUUAAUUCCUCAGGGAUUUGACCAUUAUCUCUAAUUUUUCUCUGAAAAUGAUUUAGUAAGGCUUAGACAUUCAUCUUGCAACUGAAGUUUAUGCCAGGAAAUUUUCACAGCAGCUAUCAAGUACUCCAUGCUAACAUAAAAAAAAAAAAAAGGCCAAAUCCAAAUGAUGCAUUCUCUCAAUUCCAUGCUGAAGAGUAUUUCCUUUCUUAAUCAGAGUACAUAUUGCUAUGGUCUAACCUGUCAGCCAUAAUCUGAGCUCUGUCUUCAGCUUGACCUAUGCCUGUGUUGUACCUUUUGCUGGUUCUGUUUCACAUUAACUCAACGACAGGGCAGUUUUUAUCCAGCUGGAAUAUUUGACUGGGUUUUUCCUUGUGUCUUGUGCAGGACAGCUACAGUUCUCUCUUGAGCAGCUGCUGCAGAGUGUGGUUGCCGAGACUGCACUCCUAGAUCAUAGUUUUGAGUACCUCUCCUUUCCCUCAAUGUCCUUCUUGACCUCAGUCUGAAGGCCCUUCCUUCCCCCUCUACUGGUCAGCCUUGUGACUCCUCCAUCCAGUCUGCCAAUCCCUAUUGACAAUCUUGUUUUUCCCAACAAGCUCCUUUCAGCUAUCCAGGGGGAAUGGCAAUCCCAUAUUCUCCUUCAGUGCUGUCCUUCAAACUCCUCUUCAUCAGUGUGUUACCAGUCCCUCUGCUGGGGAAGGAUGAUGAUGUGCAUGUGACUUCAGGAUGAUUUCACCAUUUUUUUGGUUAUUUUCUCUGUCCAGAUAUUGCUUUUCUCCCACAGCUUUUCUUCCUGUGCAUAAGUUGGGAGUGAGUUAACAGUUUUGCCAUACCCACACCAACUGAAUGUGAAUUCAGCCAUGACUCAGGAUUAGGGGUCUCUUAUCAGGAAGCUUUCCUGGAGUCCUGAAAUAUUCCAUGGAAACAAGAAAAGCGUUUUUUACUCUUCAGCUCAUUACAGACUGCAAGGACUGAAUAUUCAGUUUGGUACUGAAGGCUAUGCAGGUCUGGAUCCCAAGCAGUGUGGAUUAUUUGACACAGUUUGAGGCCAUAACUUAUCUGCAAUUCAGAACACGAAAACUACUUUCUACUGGGUUCCUAGAUUUUUGACUUCAUAACCUGAAUUACAAUGAUUUCUUGUUGUGCCUGAGCAGAGUCCACAAACUCUGCAAUUUACUGCUUCCUGCAACAGUCUGACACAGUCCCCUGUGGGAGAAAAAUAAGUUAAAUGGAGAACUUUUUCCUCUUAAAGAAUUAUAUUGAUCUUGCAGAUGCUGAGUUGACUCACAGUGUUUCCUUAGAGCACUUGGCUGCAGUUUCACUUAAGAGUAAAUAUAAGAGUCCUAUCAUCUUCUUUCCCUUUAAUCCUAAGCAUUAUAAUCUCUGUCAGUGUAAUGCAGUUUUUCUUUUGUAGAUGAGAUUAAACAAUAUGAAACAGCUCUUCAAUGUUCACUAAAUUCUGUGAUUUCCCAACUAUAACUAUCUAAUUUCUCUCCAAAACCUGUGGUUUAUAUGCAGCCUGAAUUUCAAGUGCAAUAUAUAGAAAAUAUAAAUCUUUAAUUUUGAGAUAUGGUUUACACUGAUCUUUCCUGGUGUGUGUUUUUUUUUUUUCAAAAACCACAAGAGUGAAGCUCAAGUAGCCUACUUGAGAGAGAAAAUUCAUCAUGUCUCUACUCCAAGGCUCUUGUGUUGUUUAAGGGCUAGAUAGACUGUGGUAAAUAAUCCACAGACCGUCACAGGAGGCAAUGCUGGCUCACAUUCCUUCUGGAAGAGCACAGGCUUGCAUCUUUUGGUAUCCUCCUCCUUCUUUUACCUCUUUUCUCUGAACGGGAAUGAAGAGGUUCUUUUGUCUCUGGAGAUUUCUGUGAUGUUUAUUUGACACAGACCUUUGUAGUGUGAUUUCAGUUUGACCGGGCCCCUCGAGGUUGGUUUCCACAUUCUGCUACAAUAUGUCCUUCCCUGCAGACUGUAACCUGAGUUUCCAAAAUGAGGAGGGCUUUUGGCAUGUGAAGAGUGAAUCUGCCUCCUUUUCAUCAGGAUAUACAAAGAUACCUAUAGAGAUGUAUGUAGAGAUAUGUAAAUGAUAUGCAACGAGUAUGUGCCCAGCUGCUGGAACUCAGCUAGGGAGCAGGCAGUGAUUUUUCUCCCUGGGGACAACCUUGUGGACAUCAUCAGAUGUGCAUACCAGUGAUUUUAUACUAUUGGCUGCUUUGCCAAAGCACACCAAAUCCAAGCAACCUUUGCUUUCAUUCUGCAGAGUUCCUGUGACUGACGAUGACUCUGACAGGCAGCUGGUGUUUCCACAGAAACUAUGUUUAGAGCAAA